GACGAACGCUGGCGGCGUGCUUAACACAUGCAAGUCGAGCGAACAGACGCGUUUCUUGCUCCUCUGACGGUAGCGGCGGACGUAUGAGGAACAUGAGGUUACCCUACCUUUAAGAUUGGGUUAACAUAGUGGAGCCGAUGCCAAUACCGGAUAAUUUAUUGAACGGCAUGGUUCAAUAGUUACAGAGGGUUUUGCUGGCACUUAUGCUUGGAUCCGCGCUGGAUUAGCUAGUUGGUACGGUAACGGCUUACCAAGGCAGCGAUGGGUAGCCGACCGGCGGGCGUGAUCGGCCACACUGGAACUGAGACACGGUCCAGACUCCUACGGGAGGCAGCGGUAGGGAAUCUUCGGCAAUGGGCGAAAGCCUGACGGAGCAACGCCGCGCGGGUGAUGAAGGUCUUCGGAUCGUAAGACUCUGUUAUUAGGGAAGAACAAAUGUGGAAGUAACUAUGCACGUCGUGACGGUACCUGAUCAGAAAGCCACGGCUAACUACGUG
rnacentral:rRNA from 1 species